rnacentral:sRNA from 1 species
GGCCUUGGGCAGGCAGGAGCGAAAGGGCCGGGGGUUGCCUGUCCUCCCCCACCCUGUUGAGGCCUUCCUCCCCCUCUGCUGAGCCUCGGUUAAUUAUAACUCUGACCUAAGUGCCCUGUGACGUCAAGCCCGGGCCAGCCCUGCCCAGGAGACCCAGCAACCAGGUCCAUGUCUCAGCCAUGCUCCCCACGGAGGUCCCCCAAUCCCACCCGGGCCCCUCAGCGUUGCUUCUGCUGCAGCUGUUGCUGCCCCCCACAUCUGCCUUCUUCCCCAACAUCUGGAGCCUGCUGGCUGCCCCUGGCUCCAUCACCCACCAAGACCUAACUGAGGAGGCAGCGCUCAACGUCACCCUGCAGCUCUUCCUGGAGCAGCCACCCCCAGGCCGCCCCCCUCUUCGUCUUGAGGACUUCCUGGGUCGAACACUCCUUGCUGAUGACCUCUUUGCCGCCUACUUUGGACCUGGUUCUUCUCGGCGGUUCCGAGCAGCCUUAGGAUUUCUACAGUCAUAGCAACUGGGUGGAGCUGGGCGAGCAGCAGCCACACCCUCACCUCCUCUGGCCAAGGCAGGAGCUCCAGAACCUGGCACAAGUGGCCGAUCCUACCUGCUCCGAUUGCGAGGAGUUGAGCUGCCCCAGGAAUUGGCUGGGCUUCACACUCCUCACCUCUGGCUACUUUGGAACUCAUCCCCCGAAACCUCCAGGCUGCAAAACUGGCCCUUCUAGCCUCCAUCCAGGCCUUCGGCCUUCUGCGAAGCCGCCUGGGAGACAGGGAUUUCUCCAGGCUGCUGGACAUCACCCCAGCCUCCAGCCUGAGCUUUGUCCUGGACACCACGGGCAGCAUGGGUGAGGAGAUCAACGCUGCCAAAAUCCAGGCUCGCCACAUUGCGGAGCAGCGGAGAGGCAGCCCCAUGGAGCCUGUCCACUAUGUCCUGGUGCCUUUUCAUGACCCAGGGUUCGGCCCUGUCUUUACAACCAGUGACCCUGACAGCUUCUGGCAACAGCUUAAUGAGAUCCAUGCCUUGGGGGGUGGAGACGAGCCUGAGAUGUGCCUGUCAGCCCUGCAGCUGGCCCUGCUGCACACACCUCCACUCUCAGAUAUCUUUGUCUUCACGGAUGCCUCCCCCAAGGAUGCCUUUCUCACCAACCAGGUGGAAUCCCUGACUCAGGAGCGGCGCUGCCGGGUAACAUUCCUGGUGACUGAAGAUACAUCAAGGGUUCAGGGUCGAGCUCGGCGUGAGAUCUUGUCCCCUCUGCGUUUUGAGCCAUACAAAGCAGUGGCCCUGGCCUCAGGAGGAGAGGUGAUCUUCACCAAAGACCAGCACAUUCGAGACGUGGCAGCCAUUGUUGGGGAGAGCAUGGCUGCCCUGGUGACUCUUCCCCUGGACCCUCCUGUUGUGGUGCCUGGGCAGCCACUUGUGUUCAGUGUGGAUGGGCUGCUCCAGAAGAUCACAAUCCGGAUCCAUGGAGACAUCAGCAGCUUCUGGAUCAAGAACCCUGCAGGGGUCUCCCAGGGCCAGGAGGAAGGCGUGGGUCCUCUAGGUCACACUCGCCGCUUUGGGCAGUUCUGGAUGGUGACCAUGGAUGACCCUCCACAGACAGGAACCUGGGAGAUCCAGGUCACAGCUGAGGACACCCCUGGGGUGAGAGUGCAAGCCCAGACCUCCCUGGACUUCCUCUUCCACUUUGGGAUCCCCAUGGAGGAUGGACCCCACCCUGGCCUCUACCCCCUGACUCAGCCAGUUGCAGGUCUUCAGACCCAGCUGCUGGUAGAAGUGACAGGGUUGGGUUCCAGAGCCAAUCCUGGGGAUCCUCAGCCGCAUUUCUCCCACGUCAUCCUUCGAGGGGUCCCAGAGGGUGCCGAACUAGGCCAGGUGCCCUUGGAGCCCGUGGGACCUCCGGAGCGAGGUCUCCUCACAGCCUCGCUGUUGCCCACGCUGCUGUCCACCCCUAGACCCUUCUCCCUGGAGCUGAUUGGCCAGGACACAGCGGGGCGGCGCCUGCACAGGGCUGCCCCUCAGCCUAGCACUGUAGUCCCUGUCCUUCUGGAGGUGAGACGCUAGGGGCAAGUGCGGCUGGGGCUGGAGAGAGUUAGAGCGGCCCCUUCCCUGACGAACACUUCUCUGCAGCUUAGUGGCCCCUCGGGUUUCUUGGCCCCGGGCAGCAAAGUCCCACUCAGUCUCCGCAUCGCCAGCUUCUCGGGCCCUCAGGAUCUUAACCUUAGG